GAUGAACGCUGGCGGCGUGCUUAACACAUGCAAGUCGAACGAUGAAGCCCAGCUUGCUGGGUGGAUUAGUGGCGAACGGGUGAGUAACACGUGAGUAACCUGCCCUUGACUCUGGGAUAAGCCCGGGAAACUGGGUCUAAUACCGGAUAGGAGCGCCUGUCGCAUGACGGGUGUUGGAAAGAUUUUUCGGUCAUGGAUGGACUCGCGGCCUAUCAGCUUGUUGGUGAGGUAAUGGCUCACCAAGGCGACGACGGGUAGCCGGCCUGAGAGGGUGACCGGCCACACUGGGACUGAGACACGGACCAGACGCCUACGGGAGGCAGCAGUGGGGAAUAUUGCACAAUGGGCGGAAGCCUGAUGCAGCGACGCCGCGUGAGGGAUGACGGCCUUCGGGUUGUAAACCUCUUUCAGUAGGGAAGAAGCGAAAGUGACGGUACCUGCAGAAGAAGCACCGGCUAACUACGUG
rnacentral:rRNA from 1 species